ACUCCUACGGGAGGCAUCAGUGGGGAAUAUUGGACAAUGGGCGAAAGCCUGAUCCAGCCAUGCCGCGUGUGUGAAGAAGGCCUUUUGGUUGUAAAGCACUUUAAGCGAGGAGGAGGCUACUGAGAUUAAUACUCUUGGAUAGUGGACGUUACUCGCAGAAUAAGCACCGGCUAACUCUGUGCCAGCAGCCGCGGUAAUACAGAGGGUGCGAGCGUUAAUCGGAUUUACUGGGCGUAAAGCGUGCGUAGGCGGCUUUUUAAGUCGGAUGUGAAAUCCCUGAGCUUAACUUAGGAAUUGCAUUCGAUACUGGGAAGCUAGAGUAUGGGAGAGGAUGGUAGAAUUCCAGGUGUAGCGGUGAAAUGCGUAGAGAUCUGGAGGAAUACCGAUGGCGAAGGCAGCCAUCUGGCCUAAUACUGACGCUGAGGUACGAAAGCAUGGGGAGCAAACAGGAUUAGAUACCCUGGUAGGCGU
rnacentral:rRNA from 1 species